AUUGAACGCUGGCGGCAGGCCUAACACAUGCAAGUCGAACGAGUGGCGGACGGGUGAGUAAUGUCUGGGAAACUGCCCGAUGGAGGGGGAUAACUACUGGAAACGGUAGCUACUACCGCAUACCAUCGGAUGUGCCCAGAGGGGAUUAGCUAGUCGGUGGGGUAACGGCUCACCUAGGCGACGAUCCCUAGCUGGUCUGAGAGGAUGACCGGCCACACUGGAACUGAGACACGGUCCAGACUCCUACGGGAGGCAGCAGUGGGGAAUAUUGCACAAUGGGCGCAAGCCGGAUGCAGCCAUGCCGCGUGUAUGAAGAAGGCCUUCGGGUUGUAAAGUACUUUCAGCGGGGAGGCGUUACUCGCAGAGAAAGCACCGGCUAACUCCGUGCCAGCAGCCGCGGUAAUUC
rnacentral:rRNA from 1 species